AUGACAAGCCUGAUCUUGGAGAACGCCGACUUGAACCGACUCUUUCCGAAAUGCCGGCCUAGGGGCGGCCCACCCCCGGCCCCGGGGGCCUCCACGCAGAGCAGCCAGCCGCAUGACAGCCCCUGCCAGACGGAGGCCACCGCUAUCGCCACCGCCGCCGCCGCCGCCGUCGUCGCCGUCGCCGCGACCACCACCGCCACCACCAUCACCACCACAACAGCCGUCACCAUCGCCUCUACGAACACGUCGACGAGCGUUCCCGCGUUACCGGACGACAUGAUCGACCUCGAGCGCGACACCUCCGACAGGUAUAGGAAACGAGCGAAUGGCAGAAAAAAAUCAGGUUCGCUGUCCCGUAGGACGGCGAGCGUGGUGCCCGGUUUCACGGUCGAGGGCCAAUUGCCGAUCGCCACGAAGCCGCUCUCGUCGAGCUCGUCCUCGGCGUCGGGACGCAGCGAGGACGCGCCGCAAUAUGGAAGCUUGCCCGGCAGCGACCAUCAGGGUCAAUCGCAGCAGGACGACAGCGGGCCCGAGGAGAACCCCGUGUACAUUCUGACCUCGGCCAAAGGUGGCCCCAGCUACAAACUUCGGGAUUCGAGAAUCAUAGAAAUUGCUGGUGGACGAGAGGUAUUCUCACAGAGCCGUGGGAAGGUAGCAGCACGAAAAUCACGAUUUCUGGCUGCCUCAAAUUCCAUAAAUAACGAGGAUAUUUCAACUGAUAAUAAGCUAUCUGUCAAGAAGAACAACAAGUCUCCCAACACACAGACCAUAUGGGAACUACGAAGCCGAUGUGGCGAGACUAGAAAGCAACGCGCGAAUCGGGAAGUGACAGAGACCGUGUUUGCCUCCGAAGUGCACUCAGUACGGCGCAACCCCACGAAAUUGAUUCUCGAUUACGACUCCCCCAAGAGCAACCGUAGCAAUCGCAUAAUUAAUUACGAUUCAAUCUUAAAUAGCAAUAAUGUAGAGUACACUACACCAAAAAGUAUUACCGACCUGGACUAUGGAUUACCAAAGAGCUGCGUAGAUUAUCAGUCGAAUCACAACACGCCCGCGAGAAGUAUGGCCAUCGUCAGCGACGGUGAGGUGGUUGUCUUCGACGAUAUCGACGACAAUUGGCAGGGGUUGCGAUUAGAUCUGGCAUCUAGCAACACGAACCAAAUCACGACGACGAAUCUGGACUUGGAAACGGACGAUUCUCAGAGAGGUCGUAUCGCACCAGAACCACCAAGUUCCAGCGUCGGGAGCACUCCUAGUCCUACGACGGCAUAUCACCGCAAUACUUCGGAAUUUUUCAAAGUGGUAACGCCGGCGAGCGAUUGCGAGGCGGAUUCUCCUUCCCCGGAACGUAACCACAAAGUCGCGAGAGUCAUUGGUGAAUUGCCAAUCGCACAAUAUUCCGGCAGUCCGAGACGUUAUGGAGUUCGUGAGAAUCCACAGCUUCCUAGCUUAUUAUCGUCGCCUUCUAUGUAUAUGACACCAAGGCCUGGUUUUCCACAGAGAGUAUUGCCGACAACACCAAAUCACAAUGAGAAGGAAGAUACCUCUGCAGAAAUUGUUGUAGACAAGACUGUGAUAGAAAAUAUUAGCACUGAGGAUCAGUCUGUGAAUCCUUCACCACCAUCACCAAAGGUCGAAGAAGAAGAGGAGGACUCUUUGAAGCCAUCGACUUUACCUGCCGAUAAUAUAAGCAGUCUUGUUUCGCCAGGAGGUAGCACUUUCGACUAUCUAUACGAAUUCUCGGAGACACGAAAAGUAUUGGAGGAAUUUUUCAAGUGUCCGGCGCCAACGAAAGAAAAGGAAAACAAUAUAGAAUCCUUUCCUUUCCAGGAUCUCGAUUAUGAACUGCGAAGGCAAGGAGGAAGUGCAUACGUCGGUCAGCGAUUAGCUAGUGGCCCACCAACGACAGAGGAGGUUAUGGUACAUGAAUCUCCUAAAAAGCAACGGGCAGAUUUUCCACAAAAUACAGGUGAACACGAGAACAACUUUUUGGACCUCUCUGUAGGCACCGGUAGCAGCGAAGACCUCGGGGAAACCGAGGUCGGUUUACAAGUGGGACACUCGCGCAAUUUCACGCUGAGCCCUGAAACGACUGAUUGCGACAGUAAUUGCGGGGACUUGGACAGCGAAGUGUCCCUCAUGAUGAUGGAUAAUGAAUUGAUGCCGGCAAGUGGUCUCCUGGGCUCGGUCGGCGAUUUGGGGAAUAAUUCGGAUUCCCUGAGAAUAUACACCAGCAUGCCAGUAUUGGAGGAUGGGUUAUCUAGUGGGCACGCGAGCGAUACCGACAACAAUAAUCCCACUGUGAUGCUCAUGAAGCGACAGAUCAAUGAAAUCGAGAAGGAGAUCAUACAGAGAACUCGUAACGACAUGUUAGGCACAGAGAACGACUCCGGGAAGGACGUUAGUAUGAACGUGACGAAGGACAUUUUACACACGCUGAAGAGCACGUCACCCGAUCUGUUCGUCGCGAAAAAGGAGAACUCAUACGACACGAACGAGUUGCAGCUCGACGGAUUGGAUCCGCUGGGCACACCUCCGCCGCCGGCGCCUCAAGGUCGGCAAAGUGUAAAUUUAGAAAUAGGCGGCGAGGUGGAGGCGGCCAUCAAGGAUAUAAGGAUGGCGCUGCAAAGGACUAAAACUCUACCUGUGAAAUCACCAUCCGAGGACCCGCCAGAACCAAGCGUCAGUCCGAUAUGGAUACCAAGUAUAAUGGAUGGCAGGCGGAGAGUCUGUAUGGAGAGCAACAGCGAAGAAUCAGAAGCGCGUCGUGUGGGUGACGAGGCUGACGUGGAGAUAGAGGAGUGUCCGGAUGAAGAAGAGGCGGACACCGAUCUCGAGACGGAUCGACUGCUCGGUCAACAGAGAACGGACGAUCAAGGAUUUUACGAUGACAAGGGGUGGAGGAAGCCUAAAACUAGGACAAUGUUACCACCAAUGAAUGCGAAAGUCGCUACUCCAAAGCAAACCCCUCCCAAAACCCUGAGUGUUGCCCCGAUAGAGACGCUAGCACCUUCCGAGCCCUUGCCCUCGACGUCUACCUCGAUCUCUCCUCCUCCCGUAGUGUCUGUUAUACAAUCACCGUCUUCUGAGUGCGAAGUAGCCACUCCCGCGCAACCUACGUCGAGUCCGCAGAAGACCCCAGUCAAAAAUUCCCCCACAUCCCCUCAGAGUCUCAAGGAAUCCAACAACAAGGUGAAAAAGGACAAGGAGGGGAAGAAAAAGAGCAGAAACAAAGAAGACUUACUGGACGAUCCUUCAGUGUUGAUCGAGGGUGUGCUAUUUCGCGCAAGGUACUUGGGAUCCACACAAUUGGUAUGCGAAGGUCAGCCGACAAAGUCGACGCGAAUGUGUCAAGCGGAGGAAGCCGUCUCCAGGAUAAAGGACGGGCCAGUGCCGAUGCAGGCAACACUCUUAAACUAUGGGGGGCAGCAUGGUUAUGGUCGCUGCAGCAUUGCCUCGCAAGGAAGCCUAGAGGAGGACGAGUGCGACUCGAGCGAAGAACUAAUAGGGAGCGCUUCUGGUGGGGGCCAGUCCGAGUCGCACGCGCUUGGGGCCCAGCCGAAACUGGCCCCGAUCAGUGGCUGCUUGGGGCCCACGACCGUUUUCAGACUACAGUUUCUCGGGUCGGUGGAGGUGGAAGAGGAAGGGGGACGUAAACGGCGUAAGCGCCUUAAGAACCACAUGGUGGAGGAGGCAGUGACGAAAAUAAAGGCGUUGGCACCGGACGGUGACACUCAACCGAGCACAGAAGUGGACCUAUUCAUCUCGACGGAAAAAAUCAUGGUGCUCAACACCGAUCUGAAAGAGAUUAUGAUGGAUCAUGCUUUACGCACGAUUUCAUACAUAGCAGAUAUCGGUGACUUGGUAGUGCUGAUGGCGCGACGACGUUUCGUGCCGCACGAGAUGGAGGAGGUGCCGAAAAUUAACAGAACUCCGAAGAUGAUUUGCCACGUUUUCGAGAGUGAGGAAGCUCAAUUCAUAGCACAAAGUAUCGGACAAGCAUUCCAAGUAGCUUAUAUGGAGUUCCUAAAGGCAAACGGGAUAGAAGACCAUAGUUUCGUCAAGGAGAUGGAUUAUCAGGAAGUGCUCAAUUCGCAGGAGAUAUUCGGCGACGAGUUGCAAAUGUUUGCGAAAAAAGAGAUGCAGAAAGAGGUAGUGGUACCGAAAGCGAAGGGUGAGAUUCUCGGUGUGGUGAUCGUUGAAUCUGGAUGGGGCUCGAUGCUGCCAACCGUAGUCAUAGCGAAUCUGGCGCCGGCCGGCGCCGCCGCACGUUGCGGACAGCUUAACAUUGGCGAUCAGAUAAUAGCGAUUAAUGGCGUCUCAUUAGUCGGCCUGCCUUUGUCCACGUGUCAGACUUACAUAAAGAAUUCGAAGAAUCAAACGGUCGUCAAGCUGACUGUCGUGCCGUGCGCACCCGUUGUUGAAGUGAAAAUCAAGAGACCUGAUACGAAGUAUCAGUUAGGGUUUAGUGUACAGAACGGAGUGAUAUGUAGUCUAUUGAGAGGCGGUAUCGCCGAACGGGGCGGCGUGCGGGUGGGACAUAGGAUAAUUGAAAUCAAUAAUCAGAGUGUUGUUGCUGUACCGCACGAAAAGAUUGUUAAUCUUCUGGCCACAUCGGUGGGAGAGAUUUUGAUGAAAACGAUGCCCACGUCGAUGUUUAGGCUGUUAACCGGCCAGGAGUCUCCGGUGUACAUAUAAAAGCGUUCAGUUGCCUGGCUGAUGCGUAGUGAACAGACAAUACAUCCGCCAUCCACUACCAUACUAUCUGCUAUCUUUAUUGUACAGGUUAUUCGAUGCAAAGUCGCUUUGUGUUUCGAUUCUUAUGGAAGACUAUUCGUACGUUCACCAGCUCCUGCUUAGUAAACGAGACUACAUAAUAGUAAGCGCCCUUUCCUCCUGCCAAUGUAUCCCACACGUAUGUGACGUCAGCGUUUGAUCUCCCGUUGCGAAAUCGUGGGAAUUACUCCCGAUUGUUGUUAACCACCGCGAAUUAUCUUUUGCGUUGUGGACCCGUUCGCGUAGCAUGCCGAUUGAGCGAAAGGAAGAUACUCGCUCGUGACACUCAGUAGCUGGAUGUUACAGAGAAUCACAUUAUACUCGCGCCAAGGAAGAUGAUAGGCGACGCAGAUAAUGCAGUUGCACAUGAUUAUAAAUAGCACAAAAGCUCUUUACCAACGGCUGGAGCAAGGGGCUGGAACUGUAUAUUACAUAGUUAAUGACGUAGUAAUAUUUAUAAAAGAAAAGGAUCUCCUUCUAUCGUGGAGACACUUUAAGCUAAAAGCGUUUAUUUAAUCUUUUUUAUCUUUAAGGCCGAUGAAUGUGCUCGCGGCGCGCGGUGCCGGUGAGUGUAUUAAUUUGUACUAAAAUUACUAUCUACCGUAGAACUUCGGAGCGCGUAAGUCUCGUGAUAAAUGCCGUAGUAAUUAUAUAGAAGAGCGCGCAAACAGCAACACAAUAUUCACAAAGGGGAAAGAAAGAGGAAAAGUUUUUUCAGACGAGUAGAUAUAUAUAAAUUUGUUUUACGAUAUGUAUAUAUAUAUAUAUAAAAUAUAUAUAAAUACAUAUAUAAAUAUAUACAAAUAUAUACAGGGUGUUCCGCCACUACCGCAUUAUCUUUUAAGGACAGAUUUCUGAGGUAAUUUGAAUUAAAAAUCCUAAUACAAAAAUGGCGAGGCUAUAAUACUUUUCAAAUUAUAAGCGAUUAAAGUUGAUCAAUUAUACUAAAGUACGCGUGCUCAGGUACAACACACAAUGGUACAGGUGCAUGCACAUGUCGUCCCUUUUCCAAAUAUUGAUACGAAAGUUCCAUACAUUCAACAAACGUAUGUAUAAUAAUCUGCCUUUUUUAUCAUUUAAAUAAACAUAUCGCAAAUAAUAACAAUUUCAUCAAAAUGUUAUGAAUAAAAUAUCACAUAAUACAUUUAUGAAAAUCAAUAAGCUGUCACACAUUUUACGUUUCUCUCAG